AUGGCAAUGCACAUGUGCAAACUUUUUCUCUUGGGACUUUUAUGCAUUGCGUUGGUCCUAUCUUCUGUAGGAGCAACUAGUAAAGAUGCAGGGGAGGUAUGCAUUGGUGGACCAUGUCAAGAUUGCGGCAGAAGAUGCCUUGUGUGGGGAUUUAUGAAAGGUGGCUGUAAUUUAAGUUCACUAUGUUGUUGUAGUAAUCAUUUUUAA